rnacentral:lncRNA from 1 species
GAUCAGGCGAGUAGACAUGACCAGGAGCCUAGACCAGCAAUGACCCUGGAGUGAUGGAUCCAGUUCUUAUGAGAAAGGAUAUGGUACCCAAGAGGUGGGGAGGCAGGUAGCAGGCCAAGCAAGAGGCUACAAUCCUUCAUUGAUGAACUCCAGAGAAUCCAAGGGCUAAAACUCAGGGUGGAGCUUAUGACAUUCACAAAUGCAGGAGAGAAGUGUUGUCUCAGCAAGAGUUCAGAACCUUGGCAGCUAAAGGUGGUUCCAAUAUCCAGACUUGCCUUCCUCGUGGUCCUUCCGGAGAUCCAGUGCAUCACACCUCCUCGGAGAUACCAGCACCUGCCAGGCAGCUCCUUUGCCCAGAGUAUGGGUCUCUGGCUUCUCUGGGCUCCAGAAAUCUGGAGGCUUCCUUGCCUCAAUGGGCUGAGUCCCAGUUCUGCAAGUUUCUCCUCCAAGUUCCCACCUUUUAGUAAUCCAACUUAUUUUGUUUUCCUUGAACUCUGA